rnacentral:rRNA from 1 species
UCCCUACGGGCGCAGCAGUGGGGAAUAUUGCACAAUGGGGGGAACCCUGAUGCAGCGACGCCGCGUGAGUGAAGAAGUAUUUCGGUAUGUAAAGCUCUAUCAGCAGGGAAGAAAAUGACGGUACCUGACUAAGAAGCCCCGGCUAACUACGUGCCAGCAGCCGCGGUAUUACGUAGGGGGCAAGCGUUAUCCGGAUUUACUGGGUGUAAAGGGAGCGUAUACGGCAGAGCAAGUCUGAAGUGAAAGCCCGCGGCCCAACUGCGGUACUGCUUUCGAAACUGCCCGGCUCGAGGUCUGGUGAGGUU